rnacentral:rRNA from 1 species
AUUGAACGCUGGCGGCAGGCCUAACACAUGCAAGUCGAGCGGCAGCGGGUCCUUCGGGAUGCCGGCGAGCGGCGGACGGGUGAGUAAUGCCUAGGAAUCUGCCUGGUAGUGGGGGAUAACGUUCGGAAACGGACGCUAAUACCGCAUACGUCCUCCGGGAGAAAGUGGGGGAUCUUCGGACCUCACGCUAUCAGAUGAGCCUAGGUCGGAUUAGCUAGUUGGUGGGGUAAAGGCUCACCAAGGCGACGAUCCGUAACUGGUCUGAGAGGAUGAUCAGUCACACUGGAACGUAGACACGGUCCAGACUCCUACGGGAGGCAGCGGUGGGGAAUAUUGGACAAUGGGCGAAAGCCUGAUCCAGCCAUGCCGCGUGUGUGAAGAAGGUCUUCGGAUUGUAAAGCACUUUAAGUUGGGAGGAAGGGCAGUCAGUUAAUACCUGGUUGUUUUGACGUUACCAACAGAAUAAGCACCGGCUAACUUCGUGCCAGCCGCCGCAGUAACAC